GACGAACGCUGGCGGCGUGCCUAAUACAUGCAAGUAGAACGCUGAAGGAAGAGCUUGCUCUUCUGGAUGAGUUGCGAACGGGUGAGUAACGCGUAGGUAACCUGCCUGGUAGCGGGGGAUAACUAUUGGAAACGAUAGCUAAUACCGCAUAACAGUAGAUGUUGCAUGACAUUUGCUUAAAAGGUGCAAUUGCACCACUACCAGAUGGACCUGCGUUGUAUUAGCUAGUUGGUGGGGUAACGGCUCACCAAGGCGACGAUACAUAGCCGACCUGAGAGGGUGAUCGGCCACACUGGGACUGAGACACGGCCCAGACUCCUACGGGAGGCAGCAGUAGGGAAUCUUCGGCAAUGGACGGAAGUCUGACCGAGCAACGCCGCGUGAGUGAAGAAGGUUUUCGGAUCGUAAAGCUCUGUUGUAAGAGAAGAACGAGUGUGAGAGUGGAAAGUUCACACUGUGACGGUAUCUUACCAGAAAGGGACGGCUAACUACGUG
rnacentral:rRNA from 1 species